AUAUAAGAAAUAAAUAAAAAUAAUAAUAAUAAAAAUAUUUGCAAAAAUAAAUGUUAUCGUGCAAUUAGUUUUGUGUAUUUUGUUAGAACACUAUGCGCCGCGUAUGCCGUUGAACAGGUUCUACAAAUAACACUAACGAAAAUAAAUAUAUAACAAAAGAGUGCCGAUUUAGUUUUGCAAAAAUUUAUGCGCUCAGCCAUUGCGCGCUCACUACAAAUUGCACAGCGCGCUGCGGCAACGCCAGCGCGUCACUUUACGCUUUAAAUAUAGUUCGUCAUGUGAGUGAGUUAGCAUGACGCUUGCAUUCGAGCGCUUUUCACAUUGCGAACAAAGACAAACGGCAGCGCUGCACUUUUUUCUCUGCGUUGCGCCUGCACUGUAUACGCUGGUCUUGGAGAUUUUUUUUUCUUGCUACAUAGCAGCCGCUCAGCGUACACAUUUUUGCACUCGCAACGCGCGGGAGCGCUUGUGAGCAACGCUAGCAUCAGCGCGCACCGUCGUAGGUGCCGCACACCCCACAACUCAAGCGAUAAGCCAUUGCAUAUACAUAUUCGUGCCACCAACACACCUACAGUGGCGCGCUCAGCUGCCGCUCGCUAUACUUUUGCUGGCGAAUUUGAAGUUCUUGGCCGUCUUGUCGUCCGGUAGCAAUGCACUCGACGCGGCGCUUUUCACCGACCUCGCUGACUGCAUAAAUGAAGAGAGCAAAAUUAAAAAAAAAAAAAUAAUAAUAAAACUGAAAAAAAUAAAUAAAACUUAAAAAAAAAUAAAUAAAUAACUGUUUCGAGCAAUGUGUGCACAAAAAAAUUAAUUAAAUUGUGGAAAAGUCAAAACAUGUAAAAUCGUAUAGCACGGAAUACUGCGGACGUAAACAUUACCGUAAUGAAGUGCGUAGAGCGUAUAAACGCCGCUGGCUGCCAGCAUUGCGUGUGAUAACAAAAACAUAAGCAUAUAGUGUAUAUAUAUAUAUAUAUGUAACAGUUCAGCGAAGUUUACAAUCAAUUAUGAAAUGAAAAUUCUCGCAUAAAUAAACCAAUUUUCGUUUACGAAAAGCUGAAAGCAAAGUGUAAUGAGAAAAGUGCAAAAGUGCAAGCUCAGAAUAUCUGUACGGCGAAUAUACAUAUAUAUUAUCUACACUAUAUACAUAUAUGUAAAAUAUAUUACUCAGGUUCGCCGAUCGAUGCUUCGACGCUUUUGGACCCUACCUCAAUGCAACUCGUUACAUACAAAUAAUGUGUAUACCGACUGUACGCAAGUGAAUUUCUAUACUAAACGAGUGCAUUUACGGACUAAGGUCUAAGUAGUGGCUCAUUGCAAAAUCUAUGUGUUUGAGUGUAUGUGCACAUACACUAGGAAGCAAAUUUUUAAUUUUGAAAUGCAAUUUACAUUAAUUUAAAAUAUAUUAUAGCCGUACUUAGUACGCGCUUUCGUGCAAUUUAGUUAAUUGAAUUUUUCGCAUACAAGAAAUGGCGACGGCAUUCGGUAAUGAUUGGCACGAGCAUUCGCUUACGAAAGCUAACAACAAAAUUGUCAACGCCGGCGGCAUAAACAUAUGACGAAAGUGCAAAGGUGUUAAAAAAAUCAGCAAAACAAAAACCGGAGGACCUUAAUGAGGUCUUUAAAUUCGUAAGGAUUUGGAAGCCUUGGUUCAACGGUAUGUCUCAGAUUUGCAUAAAUUAAAAAGGAGGAAUGGAACCUGAAUAAAUCAAAGCUUCGAGGGUUGCUUUGUGCUUUAACUACUACUAGCAAAAAAAAUUGUUAUAAAUGACGGAAUUGGAAGUAUUCAGAUAAAUGUGUAAAAGGAUAUUUUUGAAACCAAGUUCAUCUUCUUAUAACGUAAAUUCUUCAGAUUGCUUAGAACUGUAUAAAUUAAGCAUGCUAGUUGACAUUCACAAAUGAGUUGUAGGUU